GACGAACCGUGCGAACGUUGUUCGGAAUCACUGGGCUUAAAGGGCGCGUAGGCGGGUGUGCAAGUCUGUGGUGAAAGCCCCCGGCUCAACCGGGGAAGUGCCGUGGAUACUGCGCAUCUUAAGGAGGGUAGGGGCAUCUGGAACGGUCGGUGGAGCGGUGAAAUGCGUUGAUAUCGACCGGAACUCCGGUGGCGAAGGCGAGGUGCUGGACCCUUUCUGACGCUGAGGCGCGAAAGCCAGGGGAGCGAACGGG
rnacentral:rRNA from 1 species